AAAUUGAAGAGUUUGAUCAUGGCUCAGAUUGAACGCUGGCGGCAGGCCUAACACAUGCAAGUCGAACGGUAACAGGAAGCAGCUUGCUGCUUUGCUGACGAGUGGCGGACGGGUGAGUAAUGUCUGGGAAACUGCCUGAUGGAGGGGGAUAACUACUGGAAACGGUAGCUAAUACCGCAUAACGUCGCAAGACCAAAGAGGGGGACCUUCGGGCCUCUUGCCAUCGGAUGUGCCCAGAUGGGAUUAGCUAGUAGGUGGGGUAACGGCUCACCUAGGCGACGAUCCCUAGC
rnacentral:rRNA from 1 species